rnacentral:rRNA from 1 species
AGAGUUUGAUCAUGGCUCAGGACGAACGCUGGCGGCGUGCCUAACACAUGCAAGUCGAACGGAAGUAAGAGCUUCGGUUUUUACUUUAGUGGCGAACGGGUGAGUAACGCGUGAGGAACCUGCCUUUCAGUGGGGGACAACAGUUGGAAACGACUGCUAAUACCGCAUAACAUUCAGUGACCGCAUGAUUGCUGAAUCAAAGAUUUAUUGCUGAAAGAUGGCCUCGCGUCUGAUUAGCUUGUUGGCGGGGUAACGGCCCACCAAGGCGACGAUCAGUAGCCGGUCUGAGAGGAUGAACGGCCACAUUGGGACUGAGAUACGGCCCAGACUCCUACGGGAGGCAGCAGUGGGGAAUAUUGGGCAAUGGGCGAAAGCCUGACCCAGCAACGCCGCGUGAAGGAAGAAGGCCUUCGGGUUGUAAACUUCUUUUGUCAGGGACGAAGGACGUGACGGUACCUGACGAAUAAGCAACGGCUAACUACGUGCCAGCAGCCGCGGUAAUACGUAGGUUGCAAGCGUUGUCCGGAUUUACUGGGUGUAAAGGGCGUGUAGGCGGAGAUGCAAGUUGGGAGUGAAAUCCAUGGGCUCAACCCAUGAACUGCUUUCAAAACUGUAUCCCUUGAGUAUCGGAGAGGCAAGCGGAAUUCCUAGUGUAGCGGUGAAAUGCGUAGAUAUUAGGAGGAACACCAGUGGCGAAGGCGGCUUGCUGGACGACAACUGAUGCUGAGGCGCGAAAGCGUGGGGAGCAAACAGGAUUAGAUACCCUGGUAGUCCACGCUGUAAACGAUGAAUACUAGGUGUGGGGGGACUGACCCCCUCCGUGCC